rnacentral:rRNA from 1 species
CCUACGGGGGGCUGCAGUAGGGAAUAUUGGUCAAUGGGCGCAAGCCUGAACCAGCCAUGCCGCGUGCAGGAAGACGGCCCUUGGGUUGUAACGUUUAAAAUCCUGCGGAGGUGUACCUAUAGAAUAAGCACCGGCUAACUCCGUGCCAGCAGCCGCGGUAAUACGGAGGGUGCAAGCGUUGUCCGGAUUUAUUGGGUUUAAAGGGUGCGUAGGCGGUCUAAUAAGUCAGUGGUGAAAGCCUCCAGCUUAACUGGAGAACUGCCAUUGAUACUGUUGGGCUUGAGUAUACUUGAGGUAGGCGGAAUUGACAGUGUAGCGGUGAAAUGCAUAGAUAUUGUCAAGAACACCAAUUGCGAAGGCAGCUUACUAUUAUAACUGACGCUGAGGCACGAAAGUGUGGGUAUCAAACAGGAUUAGAUACCCUGGUAGUC